ACAACAGCGGCGCCCACCUGCCCGCAACGGACUCCCAGGAGCCUCGAGCUCCUCAUUUCCAAAGCUGAACUGCCCCGUGUCUGAUUCCGAUUUCUCUUGAGCGCGUUUCGGAGCCGGCCCAGAACAGAGGGAAGCCAGACACACCAUACCCGGCCCAACAGUGGCAGGGCGGCUGCGGGUGCUGGUCAAGCUGGGUCACCCGGCACUGAGUGACGAUCAGCAAAUACUCAGUGGACGAAAUAUUUGCAGUGCAGUGAGGUGAGGGGCAUAACCGCGGAGCGUAUUCGAAGAGAUGAGAGAGACUGGGGAUUAGGCCAGGCUUGAAGGGAAGAAUGGUUUGAGCACCGAGGACAAGAAUUAAUUCCCCAGGCCUGGGUUCCAGCCUUGUGCGGCUAUCACGUGCUUGAAACCUGGCUAGUCCGGAGUGAGAUGCGCUUUACGUGUAAAAUACAGGAUUCCAAAGACGUCGUAUAAAAUAAUUUGUAUAUUGUUUGCAUGUUAGGUAACAUUUUUAAUGUAUUGGAUUAAAUAAAAUGCAUUAAAAUUAUUUUUACAUUCC
rnacentral:lncRNA from 1 species